rnacentral:RNase_P_RNA from 1 species
GGCGUGAGCCUACGGAAAGUGCAGCAGAGAGCAGACCGCCACGGCUUCGCGCUGUGGUAAGGGUGAAAGGGUGCGGUAAGAGCGCACCGCGCUGGUGGUAACAUUCAGCGGCUAGGUAAACCCCGUCCGGAGCAAGACCAAAUAGGGAGGUAAUGGUGUGACCCGCACUGCCUCCGGGUAGGUUGCUUGAGGCAUGCGGUGACGCAUGUCCCAGAUGAAUGACUGUCCUUGACAGAACCCGGCUUACGACCAACUCCACCU